GCGUCGCUACUGAAAGCAUCCGGCUCAACCGGGUGAGGGUAGCGAUACGUCCGAACUGGAGGCAAGGAGAGGUGUGCAGAAUUCCGGGUGUAGUGGUGAAAUGCGUAGAUAUCGCGGAGGAAUGUUCGGUGGGCGAAGGGCGGCAAACAACUGGUCUGUGACACUGACGCUUGAGGCACGAAGGCGUGGGGAGCAAACCGGAUUAGAUACCCGGGUAGUCCACGCAGUAAACGAUGUCGGCUCGGUGUAUCGUGGUGGCAACACCAUGGUGUGCCCAAGCUCACGCGGUAAGCCGACCGCCUGGGGACUACGAGCGCAAGCUUAAAACUCAAAGGAAUUGACGGGGGCCCGCACAAGCAGCGGAGCGUGUGGUUUAAUUCGACGCAACGCGAAGAACCUUACCCAGGUUUGACAUGCAGCUGCAAGCGCACGGAAACGUGUGACCUUCGAGGGUGCUGCACAGGUGCUGCAUGGCUGUCGUCAGCUCGUGUCGUGAGAUGUUGGGUUAAGUCCCGCAACGAGCGCAACCCUCGCCGUCAGUUACAAGUGUCUGGCGGGACAGCCCUCGCUAUGGGGGAGGAAGGCGGGGAUGACGUCAAGUCAGCAUGGCCCUUACGCCUGGGGCGACACACACGCUACAAUGCCGACCACAAUGCGCUGCAACCACGCAAGUGCAAGCUAAUCGCCAAAGGUCGGCUCAGUGCAGAUCGGGGGCUGCAACUCGCCCCCGUGAAGGCGGAGUUGCUAGUAACCGCGUAUCAGCCAUGGCGCGGUGAAUACGUACCCGGGCCUUGUACACACCGCCCGUCACGUCAUGGGAGUUGUAAUGCCUGAAGUCCGUGGGGUAACCUACGGGAGCCAGCGGCCGAGGGC
rnacentral:rRNA from 1 species